GCACAAGCGGUGGAGCAUGUGGUUUAAUUCGACGCAACGCGAAGAACCUUACCCGGGCUAGAAUGCCUCUGACCGCCAUAGAGAUAUGGCUUCCUGGGUAAAACCAGGCAGAGUGCAAGGUGCUGCAUGGCUGUCGUCAGCUCGUGUCGUGAGAUGUUGGGCUAAGUCCCGCAACGAGCGCAACUCUCGCUCCCAGUUGCCAGCGGUUCGGCCGGGGACUCUGGGGGGACUGCCGGCGUUAAGCCGGAGGAAGGUGGGGACGACGUCAAGUCAUCAUGGCCCUUACGUCCAGGGCGACACACGUGCUACAAUGCCUGGUACAACGCGUCGCGAACUCGCAAGAGGGAGCCAAUCGCCAAAAGCCGGGCUAAGUUCGGAUUGUCGUCUGCAACUCGACGGCAUGAAGCCGGAAUCGCUAGUAAUCGCGGAUCAGCCACGCCGCGGUGAAUACGUUCCCGGGC
rnacentral:rRNA from 1 species